UCUUCUCCAAAUGUCAGGGCUGAAUUACAAACGUUUUCUGAGCCCACUCCCUUCUGUACAUCUCCAUCUUCUCCAAACUCACGCCUGGGAUCAGGAAUCGACUGUGGAAGCCUUCCAAUCUGUCUUUCAAGAGGGAUCAGCCAUGGGGGAGGAAUUGGAAUGCUGCAGGAAAGCGGCCCGCCCCCCUCGGCACACCAGAGCCCACAGCAGAGCCUCCACGCUUGCUAAUGCAGAAUUCGAUUAUGUGCUGACUGUCCCUGAGAAAUAAGCUCUCCCCACAGCCAGGAAGCAUGGAAAGCUCAGAGUCAGCAGCCUCCCCUGUAGGCUUUGCUUUGGCCAACGAGGCGUCACAGGAGCCAGUACAAAGCUUAUGUGGUUGGACUUGGCUUGUUCCUUCCCUCUGCUCUCUCCAAGAACACAAUACAGCCGGGCUAGCUGCAGAUCCCAGGAGCAGAGUGAGAAGGCUGACUUACUGCGGGCGUAUUGAGGGCAUUGUAGAGCAGUCAGCCAUCUUGCUGUUGCUGUACUAAUUGAAGUCUGAAGAGAGAACCUCUUUCUGAUUUGAGAUGGUUGGCCAAUCAGAGCUUGGGACUUCAGGUGAGCUGGAAGGUGUUCACCAGGCCAGGAGCUAAUGGGAGAGGCCGCGCAGCAGACGUGACACUCCACAGUAGAUUCCUUCUUUUGGUCCAGCUGGGACAGCCACCACCAGCACAACAGAUCUUAAUCGGCGGCCGGAGAUCUCUCUGCUGCUGCCCGUGAACUUCAUGAGACUUUGGAGGUGUCUUCCUCAGUAGGCAGCACACCCAUUCUACGGUCCAAGUCACUAUCAUCAGCAGAACCUGGGAGGUUGUUCCCACCUAUGCCAGCAAAGGGAAGUCCUGGAGACACCAUUUCAACACAGUACACAGCCUUUGAGCCGCGGCUUGCAUGCUGGUGACUGGUGGCUGGCGUCUGAACCCAACCUACAAGGAAUGUGUGUUCUGGCUUCUGUAAUGAGAAAUCAAGAUUCUUCAUGUAGGGAUGUCAAAGUCCCCCAAGAUGGCAGGUCUCCUGGCAGUGAAGUCUGGAUGGGGUUCCACAGGGCACAGUUGCUGGUUAGCAGGCUUUUGUAGCUCCUCACGGCUUAUGCUUGGAGCCGUUUCUCCAGCAAGAUAUUAGGUUGGUGGCUGAUUGUUGCCUAGGAGAAAUAAUAAUAUAAAAGCA